UUGAACAAAUCACAAUAUGAUUUUUUCUACUAUAAAUAUCUCAAGCAAGCUUUUUCAUUCCAUUACAUUCAAAUGAGGCAAAAUAUGGAUGUUAUUUUAAAGUUUGUUUAUGUUAUGAUACUUUUUCUUUCACUCUUUCUUGUUGUAACAAACGUUAAAUCUUUUCAUUGCCAUAUGGACUAUGAUUGCUAUGAUCAAAUUACUUGUAUCAUCGGAGACGUGACAUGUUUAGAGGGUUCGUGUGAUUGCCCUCAAGAUGUUUAGUCUCUUCAAGAUGUUUGUUCUCUAUUGUAAUUUUUAAUUCUAUUUUAUUUUGAGGUGUUGCUUUAGGGGUUAGAGUAGGGGGUGCAAACCCAUAUUUUGUAUUUUCUCUUUUCUUUUUACUAAUAAUAACUUUGUGGUGUUGUAUAUGAUUAUUGUGUUAUCGGAGUGUCAACAUAGUUUGGAUAUUAAUAGUAGAUAUUAAUGUAUCUACGGUUCAAAUUUUCUGGUUAAAAAA